UUGUGUUCGAAUCUUUGUGUGAGCAAAGGUGAUAUUUUUGGUUCCGGUUGUCUGUUAGAGGUUCGGUGGAACAGGAACUCUUAGUUGUUGGAUGAGAAUCUGAUGUCGGUUUUGGCAGGAAAUGUUGUUAGUAGGGUAGUGGGGAGAGUUAGGACUUUUGUUAAUUUUGAUUUAUUUUAUUUUCUUUUAAUUUUAUCUUUUCCUAAAAACUUAUCCCAUUUUCUAACGUUUUUUAUUGUUUCCCACUAUCAAUUUUUUUUCUUUUUCUUUCAAUUGAUUUCUAUCUUUAUCUCCCUAUUAAAUUACGGUGUUUCAGUUUCGUAUUUUCGUACGCUUUGGUAAGUAGUGGUAGUAAGGUUUUGCUCGAGUUAGGGAGAAUUCUUUUAAAAUUGUUUUAAGUGAUGUGUUUUUCGUUAGUUCUGAUUUUUGGAUUGUUG
rnacentral:lncRNA from 1 species